rnacentral:misc_RNA from 1 species
GAUGAAGAACGCAGCGAAAUGCGAUACUUGGUGUGAAUUGCAGAAUCCCGUGAACCAUCGAGUCUUUGAACGCAAGUUGCGCCUCAAGCCAUUAGGUUGAGGGCACGUCUGCCUGGGCGUCACAUAUCGUUGCCUGAUGCCAGUUUCCUCGUGAUGGGUGACUGUGCAGGGCGAAUGAUGGCUUCCCGUGAGCAUUGUUGCCUCAUGGUUGGUUGAAAAUUGAGUCCUUGGUAGGGAGCGCCGCGAUAGAUGGUGGUUGAGUGACGAACGAGACCCAAUCAUGUGAGACCCCUACCGAAUUUGGCCUUCAUGACCCACAUGCGUCUUUGGAACGCUCAUGACGAGACCUCAGGUCAGGCGGGGCUACCCGCUGAGUUUAAGCAUAUCAAUAAGCGGAGGA